UCUGCCGCCGCGGCUGCCGCUGGAGCCGGUGUCCGGGCUGGUGAUGGGGUUAAUUCCCUUCCGUGAGACUCUACCUUGCAACCAGCCGGCCCCGCCGUCGCCCCGCUGUGCCGCGCUCCCGCCACCUCCUCCUGCUCCUUCUCAGUAACGCGGGUAAGAGAUGCUGUCCCCUCCCCCGCGGCGCCCCGGGAAUAACGCGCUCGCUCCCCUCCCCCGCCCGCCAACCGGUAGCGCUAACGGAGCGGGAGAGUGAGGCAGCCGGGGAGCUAAGCGCUGAGGAGACGGCGUCCCUCCCCUCUCCUCCGGCCCGCCAGGGGCCGUCGGGUUCUGAGGCGAGCCCUCUAGUCGCCUCCACCGCGCGGUGCCCGCCGCUUCGCUGGGGGCCAUGUGCAGCGCCAACCCCUUGAGGCCUAGCGGGGGAGCUGGGGACAGGUUCCCGAGCGUCCCUGCUGCAGCUGCUGCUCUUGCGAGCCCUGGAGAUCCGGGGAGGACGGAGGGGAAAAGCAACAUAGUCAGGCCAGGCUGGAGCAGGGACCGUUCGCGGAACUGUUCUCCGGGGCCUGGACCAGAUGCCCGGGGCUGAUACCCCCGCUCCGGGGAAUUGUCACACACACCAAAAGGGAAACAGCACGUCGUGCCCGUACUGCCCGUACUGCUAGAAAAAACACAGUGGGGAAAUUAGCAAGAAAGUUGAAUGACUGUCAGAGCCUUGGUCGUUGAUGGACGAACCUACGGGGGACGUUAUGAUGUAAAUCCCCCUCCCCCCUUUCCAUCCCUGUAUAUUAGAAGUUUUUUUUUUUUUCUUCUUGUGGUUAUGUACCAGAGAUUGUCACUGUUGUCUGAAGUUGCUUUUAAGGAGAAACAAAAUUGGGUUUGGCUGUUGUGACUUCUGUGAAUUGGGUCCUGAGAGAGCAAGUCCCCUAAACUAGUUAGAGGUGAAGAGGUAUCUUCCAAAGCAGUGCUGCUUACUAAAUAAUAAGGUGCAUUUCUGAAGAGGUAAAAAUAGAAUUUCUAGCAUGAAUGAAUACACACAAACACACAUAUCCCACUCCUAAGGUUAUAGUUUGGCUGGGUCACGUUAAAGAAUCUCAUACCAUACUCCCCUUUAUUUUAGAUUUUUUCCCUGGACAGGGUCUCUCUGUGUAGCCCUGGCUGUCCUGGUACUCACAAUGUAGACCAGGCUGGCCUUGAGCUCACAGAAUCCACCUGUCUCUGCCUCCCAAGAGCUGGGAUCAAAGGUGUGGCCCCCCAUCGCCCAGCUAAAGAAACCUCUUAAAUUUAAAUGUCAUUGAUUCCAAGAGCAUCGAGUCAUAAAAAGAUGAAAUCAACCUCGAAGCCCCUUCCUUAUAAUACUUGAAUCAGUAGAGUUCAUGUAGCUACCCAUUUAACUGAAGAAAUAUCAUUCUCUUCAGAUUUUAUGUCUUUAUAUUUUAGGGGAUUGUCUUAUAAUUGUAUCAGAUUUUGAUAGUGUGCCCAUCUUUUCAAAUUCCACUCUGCUUUUUCAGCCUAGGAGAAUAUGACUUUAGUGGACCCUGUAAUCUAUAAUAGGCAUGGCUACAGACCACCCCAUUUCUAAGAUUUAUUUGUUUUAGAGAGAACACUGGUUCUGAAUAAACAACCUAUGCUUUGACUAAUAGACUAUUUCUUCUGGGUCACAGAAGUACCUUAGGAAUCUGCCAUGUUCUCAAAAUAAUGCAAGUAGAUACAGAAGUAAAAUAGAUCCAUUCACUUGGAUUAAGAAGGAAUCUGGUUAUGUGUUACUGAUUUUUUUAAUGUAGUACAUAGCUUUUGAAGAUUAGUUCCCUCAGCUUCUCCAUUGAGUCCCCAUAGCAUACAUUCCCUAGCAUAGUUCCCCAAACUUGAUAAUUAGUUGGCAAUUUAUGCAGUGAUAUAUUUAGGUCUCAUGAAUUCUUUGUAUGGAAGGUCUGAUGAAAAUACAGGGGACUACAUUCUUUUACUAUUUGUGGGACCAUUUUAUGAGGCUAAUCUAACCUAACCUCGGUUAAUAAUGGGGAGGAUAAUGCUUAAUCUAUGGAGCUGUAAAUAGACUAUGUAAAGCUACUAGGAUUGUGUCUCACAUGUAUAUAUUUGUUACAUUAAGUUUUUAUCUUUGUUUUCUCAUUUUCAUAUUUAGAGAAUGAAUUUGCUGUUCAUAUGCAGAGUAUUGUUGCAGUCUCAAAAAUCUCUUCUACUGUUGAGUGUUAAUGUACACAGUGGCUUAAAACAAUAUCUCAUAGCCAAUUUUUUUGUUUUUGUUUUAUUACAUUUACUGGGGUACGGGGCGCAGCACAGAAGUACCAUGAUACAUUUUAGGAGGGUGGAGGACAGUGGUAAGGUUAGGAGAAAUCAGUUCUUCUUCUAUCCUAUUGGUCUCUGGGAUUGAACUCAGGUGGUCUGAUUUGAAGGCCAAGUGCCUUUAUGCACUAAACCAUCUUGCUAGCCUUUAGCCAUUUUUUUUUUAAGCAGACAGAAUAUAUGAAAUUGGUCAUUGGGUAUCAAAGAGAAUUUUGUCAUACACAGUAUCUUUUUUCCUUUUGUUUAAAAUUUCUGCGUUUGGAACAUAUUUCAAAUAGAUUACCCAUAAUAAAAAUGUGCUUUGUGUUUUAGUGUUUUAGUAGUAAACUAGGGUUGUUGUCCUGCUUUACUUUGUUAAUAUGUUUCAAGGUCUAGUUUACAGUUGCUUUUGGACUCAUUCUGUUACCAGAGAAACCAAGUGACUGAUACAAAGUUAAGACUGAGAAAGUUAUCUUACCAGACUGUUGCUUUGUGCUCUUGAGGUUUGUUGGUUUUAUUUUUGCUAUUUUUUUUUCCUCAAUGCUAGGGAUUGAACCUUUCACCUCAUACAUGCCAGCAAGUAUUCCAACAUUGAGUUAAAUCCUUGCUCUUUAGUUCCUACUCCAUUGUUUAGCAGUCCUUGGGUAUUUUUUUUUCUUUGAAAUACCAUAUUCCUCCCUGUUCCCAAGUAUAUUUGAAAGUAUAGUUUUCACACAUAAAGGUGUCCUUGGAGUUGGUGCAGCCGAGCCAGGUUUCGAUUAGCAUGCCAACAGUUGUGUUAUGAAGUGUUGCUGGUACUAUCCAAGAUUGACAGCAUCUACAUGGUCACAUGCCACUGAGUUAUUGAGCUCUGUGUACUUGGGUGCUUCUCUAAAGGGACUUACCCAGUAAUUAAAGAGGUUUUUGUUUGAACUGACGUUUUAAAUAUCCAGUUAUAACCAUUUGGGUUACUAUUAAGCUGCAAUUCUUAUAAACAAGGAAGUGUAGUAAGAGUUGUGUAUGCUAAAGACUAAUGAAACUAUAAUAUUCUGUUCCUACUUGAAGUAGAAAACUUCCCAAUUAACCCUUCCCAUGACCUGUUGUAAAAAUGUCCAGCACUCACAUGUCAUAGAGGUGGAUGUGUUUCCAAGUGGAAAUGAAAAUUUCGGAUUGCUCUUGUUGCAAACCACAGAACCAGCCCUCCAUUUCCCAUUCUUGCCUAUAGGAAGAAUAAUUUAUUUAUGGUUUUAGGUAACUAAAUUGGCAGGUGAUAGAAAAGGAAAUGUAUUAGUUUUUUCCCAUAUAAUACUAAAUGU
rnacentral:lncRNA from 1 species